rnacentral:rRNA from 1 species
AAUGAACGUUGGCGGCGUGGAUUAGGCAUGCAAGUCGCGCGAGAAGUCAUUUAGCUUGCUAAAAGACGGACAGCGGCGGAAGGGAGAGUAACGCGUGGUUAUGUACCCUCGAGACCGGGAUAGUGUCGGGAAACUGGCAGUAAUACCGGAUAACAUCUUCGGAUCAAAUGGUGUGAUUCCGCUCGAGGAUUGGACCGCGUACUAUUAGCUAGUUGGAGGGGUAAUGGCCCACCAAGGCUUAGAUGGUUACCGGGUGUGAGAGCAUGGCCCGGCUCACUGGGACUGAGACACUGCCCAGACAUCUACGGAUGGCUGCAGUCGAGAAUCUUCGGCAAUGGACGAAAGUCUGACCGAGCGACGCCGCGUGCGGGAUGAAGGCCUUCGGGUUGUAAACCGCUGUCAGUUAGGAGGAAAUCCAUGAGGGUUCUCUCUCAUGGUUGACCGAUUUUCAGAGGAAGGACGGGCUAAGUUCGUGCCAGCAGCCGCAGUAAGAC